ensembl:lncRNA
ACACACACACACCCGUGUUAACUUGUGGGGUCUAAACACACACCCCUGUAUUAACUUGUGGGGUCUAAACACACACACACCCCCGUAUUAACUUCUGGGGUCUGAACACACACACCCCCGUAUUAACUUCUGGGGUCUGAACACACACACACCCGUAUUAACUUCUGGGGUCUGAACACACACACACACCCGUAUUAACUUCUGGGGUCUGAACACAAACAUCUGAUUUGACACUUGAAGUGUGGACAGUCAGUAUAAAAAUAAAACAACAUUUGAGCAUUAAGGCCUACAGUGUGAACAACGUUUUACUUGUCAUCUAUUGUGUUGAAUGUUUGUUGCAGUUGUGGAUCUUUGAACCAGCCCUGCAACCCCUCUCCCCCAACCCAGUCUGCACUUUAAUAAAAGGUCCAUCCUACUGAUCUGCUGUACUGAUGUGAACACCGGGAAAACCAUUUUACCCUUGAAGGAUUCUCUUGAAGUGGAGACUUUGUCUUAAAGGAUUGGUGUUUUUUUCCCACAACACCAAAAACAAGAUGGGUUACAAAUAAACCACAACCUGCCAACAUCGCACUGCAAUUGAUUUCUAGGAGUUUGUGACAGGCCAUGUAGUUCUUCAUGCUGAUGCGCGUUAGCUUAAGGGCUGAUCAAAAACCAAUUUAGCUUCUGUGCUAGCAACAACAGUUUUCAAUCCCAUUUGUGCCAUUUUCAAAUGUUCUCGCUAAUCAUACUUAUACUCAAAAUAAGUCUGUAUUCAUUAUCAACCGCACCAUCCACUGCACAUGUAUCUUAAAGGCUGAAUUCAAUCUGUCGCGCUGAAGUGCUCUAGCACAAUUGAGGUCAUAUUCUGAUUAAGACGACAUGCAGCAUUUAACGUGAAUGCAGUAUAUCUACUAACCCAACCAUCGCCUCAAUUUCCAUCACCUAGUAGCCAAGCUCUGCAGCACUAUGGAUUGAAUCCAGCCCUCCGUGAAGUGCAGAGCAAUGACAGCAAGUUUCUUUGAAUCCCAGCCGAAU